GCGACCCCAUGAGUAGUAAAUAACACCAUUUGCUGUACCAAAAUGUAAUUUAUUUGGCAAUCUGUUAUUUCUUUAUUUGGUGUUUAUAGCUUAGUCAAACAUUAUAUGGCUAUUUAGAAACUUUUCUACUAUCGCUCCUCCUUCGUGCUGUUGACCCCGUUAACGUGUAACCAAAAAUUUUCGAAUUUCUUUUACGUGUUUAAACAUGCUUCUUCUGAAAAGUUACGUAUUGUUUUUAUAAAUACUGAUAGAAUUUGAGAUUGUUAUGUACACUGAGAAGAAUUUUAAGUAUUUUUUCUCUAUUUAAACAAAUUUAACGAGACAAUUGCUAUGUUUUAGAAUGCAGCUGAUGAUUUAGGAUGAAGAAUGUUCUCGAAGACUACAAAAUAAUAGAUUCCGCGUUGGACUACCCGCUGAUUUUUAUCUACCCCAUGCAGUUCUAUAUAAGUCAGAUGGUAACCUGUGGUUUUUCUCGCAUAAGAGAUGGUUUCUUCUGUUACGUGUACCACCCGUUGACGAACUUAUUAACCAUUUCCAUGAACUACGACUCUAUAAAAGUAACAAGUAGAUACUACAGUUUAUAAAAUAUCUCCAAUGAUUCACUUUGAGAUUUAUGUGGUUGUUUAACAAUUUUUUUGGACAAGAUUUAUUAUAUUUUUAAUGGAAAUCAAUCACUUGAU